rnacentral:rRNA from 1 species
GUAUCCAACCUGCCGAUAACUCUGGAAUAGCCUUUCGAAAGAAAGAUUAAUACCGGAUAGUAUACGAAUAUCGCAUGAUAUUUUUAUUUAAAGAAUUUCGGUUAUCGAUGGGGGAUGCGUUCCAUUAGUUUGUUGGCGGGGUAACGGCCCACCAAGACUACGAUGGAUAGGGGUUCUGAGAGGAAGGUCCCCCACAUUGGAACUGAGACACGGUCCAAACUCCUACGGGAGGCAGCAUG